rnacentral:tRNA from 1 species
GGGGUGGUAGUGUAGCCAGGCAGCACGACAGGCUCCAGACUUGUUGGUCGGGAGUUCAAAUCUCCCUCACCCCA